rnacentral:rRNA from 1 species
CAGUAGCCGCGGGAAUACGUAGGGUGCAAGCGUUAAUCGGAAUUACUGGGCGUAAAGCGUGCGCAGGCGGUUUGUUAAGACAGAUGUGAAAUCCCCGGGCUUAACCUGAGAACUGCAUUUGUGACUGGCAAGCUAGAGUAUGGCAGAGGGGGGUGGAAUUCCGCGUGUAGCAGUGAAAUGCGUAGAUAUGCGGAGGAACACCGAUGGCGAAGGCAGCCCCCUGGGCCAAUACUGACGCUCAUGCACGAAAGCGUGGGGAGCAAACAGGAUUAGAUACCCGUGUAGUCCCUGUCUCUUAUAC